rnacentral:lncRNA from 13 species
UGACAGGGCUGAAGGUGAGCAUUGGCUUUUUUUGAUAGAGAUCAUGGAGCCUGUAAGAUUAGUGAAGGUGCUGGAGGCAAAAUGCAAAGCUGAAAAAGCGGGAAAAAGUUUCUGCACGCUUCCAAUCAGAUGCAAAUGUAUUUUAAUAGUAGCUGAGCUUUCGCCCAGUCAACCUUCAUCAGAGCCCAACAUAGGAAAGACUAGGAGUGAGGGGAAAAUGUAUCUGCAAGGAGGAGUUAGAGGGCCUGUCACACUGUGAUCUGAUUCACCUUGUGAUUGUCUCCAGCACCUCCCGGUGUCGCUUAUUUUCCCCAGUGUAUUUAUCCAUGUGUUUCCUGUCUCUCUGUGCCAGUUUGUCUUGUAUGUUUUUCAUGUCAACCAGAGUGUUUUCCUGUACUCCUGCUUCUAUUCUCUUUUUGCUAGUCCUCCCGGUUUUGACCCUUGCCUGUUUUCUGGACUCUGUACCUGCGUGCCUGACCGUUCUGCCUGCCUCCUGCUCUGUACCUCCUGGACUCUGGUUUUAACCUUUUGCCUGUCCUCGACCAUUCUCUCGCCUACCCCUUUUGGAUUGUUUAGUAAAUAUCAAAGAUAUCUGCCUCCCGUGUCUGCAUCUGGGUCUCGCCUUGUGCCUUUAUAAGGCCAACCUAUUGCAAUGAAAUACAAUACCGUACAAAAACCCAAAGUGACGGUCUACUCAGAGUCCAACCCUGAGUCGAAGGUGAACACCCUGCUAUGUCUGGCUGGAGACAUGUUUCCAGACUUGGUCAAGAUCUCAUGGAAGCUGGAGGAUGAAAACGGCAAAGCAGUCGAGGUGCCUAAAGCAGAGGGAGAACAGCUGGAGCAGAGGGAGGAAGGACGGACGACCAGUAUGAUCAUCAUUGAUAAUGAGAAGAUUUACAGAAACAAAUACAUCUGUUCUGUGGAGCAUGAAGGGGGCCCUCAAGAUGUUUUCAUGCUAAAAGAUAAACCAACUGAAGCUCCGCGAACCACCGUGGCUGCACCAACCUGUCUGUUCAGAAAUGACACCAAGCAGUCACAGACUCUACAUCUUGCCGACGACAAUCACGUUCGUAAACCCAAAGUGACCGUCUACCCAGCGUCCAACCCUGAGUCGAAUGGGAAGAUCACCCUGCUAUGUCUGGCUAGAGACAUGUUUCCAGACUUGGUCAAGAUCUCAUGGGAGAUGGAGGAUGAAUGCGGCCAAACAGUGGAGGUGUCCAAAGCAGAGACGGAACAGCUGGAGCAGAGGGAGGAAGGGCGGACGACCAGUAUGAUCAUCAUUGAUAAAGAGAAUGCGUACAGGAACAAAUACAUCUGUUCUGUGGAGCAUGAAUGGGGCGCUCAAGAUGUUGACAUGCUAAAAGAUCGCUUCUUCUUCAUGUGCAGUCUGAACCUGGCCUCUCUGGUUUAUACAGUGAUGAUAGUGAAGAGCAUGGUGUACUGCUGUGGGCUCUCUCUCCUGCUGCACCACAGGAACAUGGGGAAGUGGACACAACACCUGUAGAAAGGAUACCACCCAGUAUGGAUAAAGAUGUUGUAGGCUGGGAAUAACAUGGAUUUUACAUCCUAUUGAGGUCUAACUUUCAUUUGUAGGCCAAUUUUCUUAUUUUUCAAAACUUUAUAUUUAAGAAGCUAAAAUAUUUUGAACCAUAGAUUUCAUGUCUUCCCAUAACUUCAACUGCCAAUUACGACAUUAAUUGCAGAACAUUUCAUGUAAAUUGUGUUUCCCUGCUGAAAAUUAAAAUGAAGCCUAAUAUUACACUUUUUAUGAUUGUGGGAGCUACCCACUGCAGACACUUGAAUAAAGGUUAAGUUAAGGUUGUGAGAAAAAUAAAAUCUUGAAGGUAGAUCCUUAUGAUUUAAAUGUAGACUAUUUCAUGAAAGUUGCCCUUGAGUAUCUGUCAAAGCUUAAAUAACUUUUUACAAAAUCUGUAUUUGAUUUAUACAAAAAUAUGAACCUAAGUAUUAUAUUUACCGAUACAUUAUUAAAUAUGUAGGGCCAUGAUAUCUAAAAGUCCUAUGUAACAUUAUCCAAUAUAAUAUUUAGUAACUUGUCGUGUGUAAUGAAGUGUUUUUCGCCCCAAUAAAUUUGUUUGUUUUCUAACAUAUUUCAUAUCAUAAUUCAAUUAUUUUGUUCAUGAACAGGAGUAAUAGAAAAUACAUAUUUUAUAUUUUCUUUGAAGAACAAAAAUAAGUGCUUAUUGAGCAGACAAAUUGGUCUAUGAGUGAAUUUAUUAAUUGUUUUUUUUUUACAUUGAUGUUGUUUACAUUGAUAGGUUUGUAUGAAGAGUGACAUUUUCCUUGCUUAACACAUUAAUCAUGUCCUUUCAGAUGGGGAAGGGUUUAAUAAUCACUGCAUGAAAGAAAUGUUACAACAAACAUGGCUCUGCAAAGUAUUCUACAUACUGUAUUGGGCUGUUUUGUAAGAUGAAAUUGUCACCAUAACAGAAAAAAUAAAGGUUACUUAAACCCCCCCCCAAAAUUGUAUUUAUUUUCUAAAAGAUGAUCUAUUCUUAUUUGUGAAAAGUGUUUUAUUGAAUCUCUUUGAAGCAGAGACAAUAAGAUCAUAUUUUUUUUUCAAUCUUUUUGCUUCUAUCUGCGUGUUAAGAUGCAGAUGUUGAGCCUAGACUCAAUACUGGUGGGAAAAUGUGGUCAAUAGAUUUAUUUGGUUUUCUAAUAAGGUGGAAACAAGAUAUAGCUGCAUAACCACAGCUAGAUCGUGUGAUGAGUUGUUGGUUAUUCAUUUUUACAUUUAGCGGAGGGUAAUUCUUAUUCAGAGUGACUAAAACCAAUAACAAACUCCUAAAAAGCUACGCAGUACUGCUUCGUUGCAGUGGCGGUUCUAUCUUGUAUUGUUCCCUGGGCAAUUGUAUUGCUCCCCCAAUGUAAUUCUUGAACAAAUGUGGUGUUGUGUUGCAACAUGCACACAGGCUUGCGACUGUGAAAAAGUACUUGAUGCCUUGAACGGUAUACCUUAUUUUACUGUAUUGAAUAAGAUAAUACCCCCUUUAGUGGAUUCAAUCUGAUUCUCUUUGUAUUGACAGUUUGUUAG